rnacentral:rRNA from 1 species
UACGAAGGGGGCUAGCGUUGUUCGGAUUUACUGGGCGUAAAGCGCGUGUAGGCGGAUCUGUAAGUUGGGGGUGAAAUCCCGAGGCUCAACCUCGGAACUGCCUCCAAAACUACAAGUCUGGAGCAAGAUAGAGGCAAGUGGAAUUGCGAGUGUAGAGGUGAAAUUCGUAGAUAUUCGCAGGAACACCAGUGGCGAAGGCGACUUGCUGGAUCUUUGCUGACGCUGAGACGCGAAAGCGUGGGGAGCAAACAGG